CGCACGAGCGCACCCUCGUCGUUAGUUACUAUGUCUAGCGAGACUGCUCCUAAAAGGGGAGAGGAAGGUGGGGACGAGGUCAAGUCGGCACGGCUCUUACGCCCAGGGCUACACACACGCUACAAUGGUCGGAACAGAGGGUCGCGAUGGCGCGAGCCGGAGCUAAUCCCAAAAAUUCGGCCCCAGUUGGAAUUGCAGGCUGAAACCCGCCUGCAUGAACGCGGAGUCGCUAGUAAUCGCAGGUCAGCACACUGCGGUGAAUACGUUCCCGGGGAUUGNACACACCGCCCGU
rnacentral:rRNA from 1 species